rnacentral:rRNA from 1 species
CCUACGGGAGGCAGCAGUGAGGAAUAUUGGUCAAUGGACGAGAGUCUGAACCAGCCAAGUCGCGUGAGGGAUGACUGCCCUAUGGGUUGUAAACCUCUUUUAUAUGGGAAUAAAAUGUUCGACGUGUGGCGUUUUGUAUGUACCUUAUGAAUAAGGAUCGGCUAACUCCGUGCCAGCAGCCGCGGUAAUACGGAGGAUCCGAGCGUUAUCCGGAUUUAUUGGGUUUAAAGGGAGCGUAGGUGGACUGUUAAGUCAGUUGUGAAAGUUUGCGGCUCAACCGUAAAAUUGCAGUUGAAACUGGCAGUCUUGAGUAUAGUAGAGGUGGGCGGAAUUCGUGGUGUAGCGGUGAAAUGCUUAGAUAUCACGAAGAACCCCGAUUGCGAAGGCAGCUCACCGAACUGCAACUGACACGGAGGAUCGAAAGUGUGGGUAUCAAACAGGAUUAGAUACCCUAGUAGUC